ACACUCCUGCGGGAGGCAGCAGUGGGGAAUUUUGGACAAUGGGCGAAAGCCUGAUCCAGCAAUGCCGCGUGAGUGAAGAAGGCCUUCGGGUUGUAAAGCUCUUUUGUCAGGGAAGAAACGGUGAGAGCUAAUAUCUUUUGCUAAUGACGGUACCUGAAGAAUAAGCACCGGCUAACUACGCGCCAGCAGCCGCGGUAAUACGUAGGGUGCAAGCGUUAAUCGGAAUUACUGGGCGUAAAGCGUGCGCAGGCGGUUUUGUAAGUCUGAUGUGAAAUCCCCGGGCUCAACCUGGGAAUUGCAUUGGAGACUGCAAGGCUAGAAUCUGGCAGAGGGGGGUAGAAUUCCACGUGUAGCAGUGAAAUGCGUAGAUAUGUGGAGGAACACCGAUGGCGAAGGCAGCCCCCUGGGUCAAGAUUGACGCUCAUGCACGAAAGCGUGGGGAGCAAACAGGAUUAGAUACCCCAGUAGUCC
rnacentral:rRNA from 1 species